rnacentral:ribozyme from 1 species
GUAAUUUUGCGCUCUGCAAUGAGAUGGGAUCCGAAGCCCCCCGAGGGAUAAUACUGGCUCUCCCAUCCAAUGGCGAUCCAGGUGGGAGGUGAGUAUCCCAGGAAACUGGGUGCCUGGAUGUAGGGGGAAGGGGGGCAACCCGACGCUAAACAAAACGGU